AUGAACGCUGGCGGCGUGCCUAAUACAUGCAAGUCGAGCGAACAGACGAGGAGCUUGCUCCUCUGACGUUAGCGGCGGACGGGUGAGUAGCACGUGGAUAACCUACCUAUAAGACUGGGAUAACUUCGGGAAACCGGAGCUAAUACCGGAUAAUAUAUUGAACCGCAUGGUUCAAUAGUGAAAGACGGUUUUGCUGUCACUUAUAGAUGGAUCCGCGCCGCAUUAGCUAGUUGGUAAGGUAACGGCUUACCAAGGCAACGAUGCGUAGCCGACCUGAGAGGGUGAUCGGCCACACUGGAACUGAGACACGGUCCAGACUCCUACGGGAGGCAGCAGUAGGGAAUCUUCCGCAAAGGGCGAAAGCCUGACGGAGCAACGCCGCGUGAGUGAUGAAGGUCUUCGGAUCGUAAAACUCUGUUAUUAGGGAAGAACAAAUGUGUAAGUAACUAUGCACGUCUUGACGGUACCUAAUCAGAAAGCCACGGCUAACUACGUG
rnacentral:rRNA from 1 species